UGGGGGAUAUUGCACAAUGGGCGAAAGCCUGAUGCAGCGACGCCGCGUGGGGGAUGAAGGCUUUCGGGUUGUAAACCUCUUUCGCUAUCGAACAAGGCCCGCUUAGGGUGGGUUGAGGGUAGGUGGAGAAGAAGCGCCGGCUAACUACGUGCCAGCAGCCGCGGUAAUACGUAGGGCGCGAGCGUUGUCCGGAAUUAUUGGGCGUAAAGGGCUUGUAGGCGGCUUGUUGCGCCUGCUGUGAAAACGCGGGGCUUAACUUCGCGCGUGCAGUGGGUACGGGCAGGCUUGAGUGUGGUAGGGGUGACUGGAAUUCCAGGUGUAGCGGUGGAAUGCGCAGAUAUCUGGAGGAACACCGAUGUCGAAAGCAGGUCACUGGGCCAUUACUGACGCUGAGGAGCGAAAGCAUGGGUAGCGAACAGG
rnacentral:rRNA from 1 species